UUUAUGUAUUGCUGAGAUUAUCAAAGGCAACUUAUUGUUACUCUUCUGCCAAUCUUCUUCCAUCACUUCACAAAAGUAUUUAUCAAUUUUCAAAAAGGAAUCUUCUUCUAUCAUUGAUAUGGAACUUAAUCGAGAAGAACCAGCUGGCAUGGCCUGGGUGGGCCUCAUUCUGAACGAUAUGUUCUCGAUUCUAGAGGUGCUUUUGUUGUACGACAAGCUGUGAAGGCUCAUACUUGGACAUUGCCUCGUUUUUUCUAUUCUGGUUGUGCAGACAAAUUACAUUCAGUCUUCUUUUUUCUUUUGUGAUCGCUUUCGUACCAGACACUCUGAGUGCAGCACCUGAUAAAGCAUCUGUUCUGUCCCAGGUAAUGGCAGCCGGAAAUGAUCCAAAUCUU